ACGAACGCUGGCGGCGUGGAUAAGACAUGCAAGUCGAACGAUCACUAUUGGGUAGCAAUAUUCGAUAGUGGGAGUGGCGCAAGGGUGCGUAACACGUGGGUAAUUUGCCAUGAAGUCUGGAAUAACUUGCUGAAAGGCGAGCUAAUACCGGAUGUGAUUACUGGAAGGCAUCUUCUGGUACUUAAAGUCGGGGACCGCAAGGCCUGACACUUCUUGAUAAGCCCGCGGCCUAUCAGCUAGUUGGUGAGGUAACGGCUCACCAAGGCUAAGACGGGUAGCUGGUCUGAGAGGACGACCAGCCUCACUGGAACUGAGACACGGUCCAGACACCUACGGGUGGCAGCAGUCGAGAAUUUUUCUCAAUGGGGGAAACCCUGAAGGAGCGACGCCGCGUGGGGGAUGAAUGGCUUCGGCCCGUAAACCCCUGUCAUUUGCGAUCAAACCUUACGACCUAACACGUCGUAAGCUGAUAGUAGCGGAAGAGGAAGGGACGGCUAACUCUGUGCCAGCAGCCGCGGUAAUACAGAGGUCCCAAGCGUUGUUCGGAUUCACUGGGCGUAAAGGGUGCGUAGGCGGUCGGGUAAGUCUGACGUGAAAUCUUCAAGCUCAACUUGGAAACUGCGUCGGAUACUAUUCGGCUAGAGGAAUGGAGGGGAGACUGGAAUACUUGGUGUAGCAGUGAAAUGCGUAGAUAUCAAGUGGAACACCAGUGGCGAAAGCGAGUCUCUGGACAUUUCCUGACGCUGAGGCACGAAGAGCCAGGGGAGCAAACGGGAUUAGAUACCCCGGUAGUCCUGGCCCUAAACGGUGCACGUUUGCUGUAAGAGGAAUCGACCCUUUUGUGCGAAGCUAACGCGUUAAACGUGCCGCCUGGAAGUACGCCGCAAGUUAGAACUCAAAGAAAUUGACGGGGCCUGCACAAGCGGUGGAGUAUGUGGCU
rnacentral:rRNA from 1 species